UGUAGGUAAAUUGGUGUCAAUUAGCAGCAAUGGACUAGGACAUCAGCUGUGUGCGCUCGAGUACCAGGAAGCAAGCCAAAAGUGUCUGCUCCAAGGUUGCCAGUUGUGAUUCUGGUCACUUUUCAAGCAGAGAAGCAUGAUGAAAAUAGAUUUUGUUAUGAUGGUCUUACUACGCCGAGAUGCUUGCUCGGAGCUCAU